rnacentral:rRNA from 1 species
GCUUAACGCGAAGAACCUUACCAGCCCUUGACAUCCCGGUCGCGGUUACCAGAGAUGGUUUCCUUCAGUUCGGCUGGACCGGUGACAGGUGCUGCAUGGCUGUCGUCAGCUCGUGUCGUGAGAUGUUGGGUUAAGUCCCGCAACGAGCGCAACCCUCGCCCUUAGUUGCCAUCAUUCAGUUGGGCACUCUAAGGGGACUGCCGGUGAUAAGCCGAGAGGAAGGUGGGGAUGACGUCAAGUCCUCAUGGCCCUUACGGGCUGGGCUACACACGUGCUACAAUGGCGGUGACAAUGGGCAGCUAACCCGCGAGGGUGAGCUAAUCUCCAAAAGCCGUCUCAGUUCGGAUUGCACUCUGCAACUCGGGUGCAUGAAGGCGGAAUCGCUAGUAAUCGUGGAUCAGAACGCCACGGUGAAUACGUUCCCGGGUCUUGUACACACCG